GGUUAAGCGACUAAGCGUACACGGUGGAUGCCCAGGCAGUCAGAGGCGAUGAAGGACGUGCUAAUCUGCGUAAAGCGACGGUAAGGUGAUAUGAACCGCUACAGCCGUCGAUGUCCGAAUGGGGAAACCCGGUGCACUCUGUGCAUCAUUGCAGCAUGAAUACAUAGUGCUGCAAGGCGAACCGGGGGAACUGAAACAUCUAAGUACCCCGAGGAAAAGAAAUCAACCGAGAUUCCCCCAGUAGCGGCGAGCGAACGGGGAGCAGCCCAGAGCCUGAAUCAGUUUGUGUGUUAGUGGAAGCGUCUGGAAAGUCGCAGGGUACAGGGUGAUACUCCCGUACACAAAAACACACAUGCUGUGAGCUCGAUGAGUAAGGCGGGACACGUGGUAUCCUGUCUGAAUAUGGGGGGACCAUCCUCCAAGGCUAAAUACUCCUGACUGACCGAUAGUGAACCAGUACCGUGAGGGAAAGGCGAAAAGAACCCCGGCGAGGGGAGUGAAACAGAACCUGAAACCGUGUACGUACAAGCAGUGGGAGCCUUCUUUAUGGGGGUGACUGCGUACCUUUUGUAUAAUGGGUCAGCGACUUAUAUUCUGUAGCAAGGUUAACCGUAUAGGGGAGCCGCAGGGAAACCGAGUCUUAACUGGGCGUUAAGUUGCAGGGUAUAGACCCGAAACCCGGUGAUCUAGCCAUGGGCAGGUUGAAGGUUGGGUAACACUAACUGGAGGACCGAACCGACUAAUGUUGAAAAAUUAGCGGAUGACCUGUGGCUGGGGGUGAAAGGCCAAUCAAACCGGGAGAUAGCUGGUUCUCCCCGAAAGCUAUUUAGGUAGCGCCUCGUGAACUCAUCUUCGGGGGUAGAGCACUGUUUCGGCUAGGGGGCCAUCCCGGCUUACCAACCCGAUGCAAACUGCGAAUACCGAAGAAUGUUAUCACGGGAGACACACGGCGGGUGCUAACGUCCGUCGUGAAGAGGGAAACAACCCAGACCGCCAGCUAAGGUCCCAAAGUCAUGGUUAAGUGGGAAACGAUGUGGGAAGGCACAGACAGCCAGGAUGUUGGCUUAGAAGCAGCCAUCAUUUAAAGAAAGCGUAAUAGCUCACUGGUCGAGUCGGCCUGCGCGGAAGAUGUAACGGGGCUAAACCAUGCACCGAAGCUGCGGCAGCGAC
rnacentral:rRNA from 1 species